GAUGAACGCUAGCGAUAGGCUUAACACAUGCAAGUCGAGGGGCAGCAAGACAAUAGCAAUAUUGUUGUUGGCGACCGGCGCACGGGUGAGUAACGCGUAUGCAACCUACCUACAACAAGGGGAUAGCCCGGCGAAAGUCGGAUUAAUACCGUAUAACACAGGGAUCCCGCAUGGGAAUAUUUGUUAAAGAUUUAUCGGUUGUAGAUGGGCAUGCGUAACAUUAGCUUGUUGGUGAGGUAACGGCUCACCAAGGCUACGAUGUUUAGGGGUUCUGAGAGGAAGGUCCCCCACACUGGUACUGAGACACGGACCAGACUCCUACGGGAGGCAGCAGUGAGGAAUAUUGGUCAAUGGGCGAGAGCCUGAACCAGCCAAAUCGCGUGAAGGAUGAAGGUAUUCUGUAUUGUAAACUUCUUUUAUACGGGAAUAAAGUGCAUCACGUGUGAUGUUUUGUAUGUACCGUACGAAUAAGCACCGGCUAACUCCGUGCCAGCCGCCGCGGUAAAAC
rnacentral:rRNA from 1 species